CUGAUGUUGGAGAUGUGCUAAUUACAGCAGCAGAGACCAGUGAACUAAAAAUGACAGUGGAUGUGACAAACAGGCAGUGAAUCAUAUAACAAGAGAUCACAGGUGAGGUGCUAAUGAAGACAGUCCUUCAGACCAUUGAGAAAUCGCUUGGUGAGUUGGAGAAAGAUAAAGAAAGUCCAGGAGCUGAUGCCUGACAGGCAGUUCAUCAGACCAGCAGCACUCCUGCAGUCGAUAGUGGAGACAGAAAGGAAGAAUUGGGGUAAUAUAUGGAAGUGGACCCACCCCGAGGAUAAUGUCACAGAAAACAUUACAGACUGGCAACUAUAAUCAAUAAAGUUAUCAGU